rnacentral:rRNA from 1 species
AUUGAACGCUGGCGGCAGGCUUAACACAUGCAAGUCGAGCGGAGCGAGGGUGCUUGCACCUUAGCUUAGCGGCGGACGGGUGAGUAAUGCUUAGGAAUCUGCCUAUUAGUGGGGGACAACAUUCCGAAAGGGAUGCUAAUACCGCAUACGCACUACGGGGGAAAGCAGGGGAUCUUCGGACCUUGCGCUAAUAGAUGAGCCUAAGUCGGAUUAGCUAGUUGGUGGGGUAAAGGCCUACCAAGGCGACGAUCUGUAGCGGGUCUGAGAGGAUGGUCCGCCACACUGGGACUGAGACACGGCCCAGACUCCUACGGGAGUCAGCAGUGGGGAAUAUUGGACAAUGGGGAAACCCUGAUCCAGCCAUGCCGCGUGUGUGAAGAAGGCCUUAUGGUUGUAAAGCACUUUAAGCGAGGAGGAGGCUACUGAGAUUAAUACUCUUGGAUAGUGGACGUUACUCGCAGAAUAAGCACCGGCUAACUCUGUGCCAGCAGCCGCCGUAA